CCUACGGGAGGCAGCAGUAGGGAAUAUUGCUCAAUGGGGGAAACCCUGAAGCAGCAACGCCGCGUGGAGGAUGAAGGUUUUCGGAUUGUAAACUCCUUUUGUUAGAGAAGAUAAUGACGGUAUCUAACGAAUAAGCACCGGCUAACUCCGUGCCAGCAGCCGCGGUAAUACGGAGGGUGCAAGCGUUAUUCGGAAUCACUGGGCGUAAAGAGCGCGUAGGCGGGAUAGUAAGUCAGAUGUGAAAUGCUUUGGCUUAACCAUAGAACUGCCGUUGAAACUGUUAUUCUAGAGUGAGGGAGAGGUAAGGGGAAUUCGUGGUGUAGGGGUAAAAUCCGUAGAGAUCAAGAGGAAUACUGAUUGCGAAGGCGACCUGCUAGAACGUAACUGACGCUGAUGCGCGAAAGCGUGGGGAGCAAACAGGAUUAGAUACCCUUGUAGUC
rnacentral:rRNA from 1 species